CGAGCACGCGCGUGUGGCAUAUCAAUAAGCGGAGGAAAAGAAACUAACAAGGAUUCCCUUAGUAACGGCGAGUGAAGCGGGAAGAGCUCAAAUUUGAAAUCUUCAAGGUUCUACCUUGACGAAUUGUAGUUUAUAGAAGUGUUUUCUGUUAGUGGAGUGGCAAAAGUUCUUUGGAAUAGGACAUCAUAGAGGGUGAGAAUCCCGUAUUUGGUCAUUCCUCCUAGCGUUGUGAUACACUUUCAACGAGUCGGAUUGUUUGGGAAUGCAGUCCAAAAUGGGUGGUAAAUUUCAUCUAAAGCUAAAUAUUGGCGAGAGACCGAUAGCGAACAAGUACCGUGAGGGAAAGAUGAAAAGAACUUUGAAAAGAGAGUUAAACAGUACGUGAAAUUGUCAAAGGGGAAGCGUUUGACACCAGUGUUGUUUUUCCGAAAAUCAAUUACGAAUGUUUUGUUUUUAAGGAGUUAUGACUUCAUCGGCUUGCUUCUUUCUUUACGAAACUUUCUUAAUGCACUUUUCGGUUAACAAGUCAACAUCAAUUUCUUUUGUUGUAAAAUGGUAUGAGGAAGGUGGCUUUCUUUUCGGAGAAAGUGUUUAUAGCCUUGUAGCCUCUGCAAUCGGAGAGAUUGAGGUCUGCAGCGUAGAUCCUUCGGGGUUAGAUACAGUUUGUGCUAAGUUAUAGCUUUUCAUAGACAACUUGUUGACUAUGUUAGUCUUGUAGCUUACUCGCUGAUGCUAUUUUACCUACGCUUAGGAUGUUGAGCGCAUGUCUCUCUCU
rnacentral:rRNA from 1 species